rnacentral:rRNA from 1 species
AUCUAUGGCCAUGCCACCCUGAACAAGCCUGAUGUCUGAGCUUGGAAGCUAAGCAGGGUUGGGGCUGGUUAGUACUUGAAUGGGAGACCACCUAGGAAGAACAGGUGCUUGCUGUAGGU